GAGUCACCUAUUGUAUGAUUCCAUUUAUAUGAAAUAUCCAAAAUAGCUGUCCUGGGUGGCAUGAGAACCAUGGGCUGAGGAUUGGACAAGCUUGCUCUACAAUAUUCACAGGCCACAGAUCAGCCCUGGGGUUCAGAGGGAUCCUGACAGCUACUCCUCAAGAUCCUCUCUGUUGUGAUUCAUCCCCCCGGGGCCCUACAGUUUCUCCUUCCUGACUCUUACAUUUCUUUGGAUGGCAUCAUUAUUGCUGGAGUGCAGUGAUGUGAUCUCGGCUCACUGCAACCCCUGCCUCCUGGAUUCAAGCAAUUCUCCUGCCUCACCCUCCCAAGUAGCUGGGAUUACAGUACCUGUCUCCUCCCAUAGUUAGGUGCCAAGCACUGUGGAUUCUGCCUCUCAGUGUCCAGACACCCAUUUUCCUUCCCACUGUUCCUUCCCCAUGGAGAAGCCUGUGGCUGGCUGACAGCAGAGAGAGAUGCUCAACUUGGAGAAGGUGUUACCUGGGCCAGGUGGGGAAGGUUUGUUUGCAGAGCAAAGAAGUGAAGGAAGUAUUAACCCUUUGCAUGGCCUCCUGAGAAUCCGACAAGACGUAAAUAGCCAAGAAUAUCUGUGAAACUUCAUCACUGAGUUACAAUAUUUAUCACUGCAAGUGUGUUGUUCAUUGACACUAUAAAGCCAUGUGGAAUUAAGCAGCCUUGAAACACAAAAUGGAGAAAGGCUAAGAGCUGAGAAUUGUUGCCUUCAGGGAAAUACAAUCAAUGUCAAGCAAACAACCACCCC
rnacentral:lncRNA from 1 species